AUAACAUUAUUAGCAAUGUCUAAGGAAGUUCUGUCUAGGAGGAGUUAUUUAAUUACGCGCCAGUAAGGAGAAAUUCUUACCGGAAGACGCCUUCUUUCCUGGGAACGAUCUGGUUGUCAAUAUUGUAGUUCUAUUUGUGAACAAUUAAUUGUUGAUUUAUAUGAUAAGGAAAUAUUUAUUUAAUGUGGAUAUAAAUGGCGGAAAUUUUAGAAAAGUGACAAUUGUUGAAAAUUAAUAUUUUAUCUUUUCUGAUAAAAUAAUUAAUUCAAAUAUAUUAUUAGAUUACAUUAUAAAUGUAUAAUGUGAUAAUAUAAUAAUAUUAUAAUGGUGAUAUUUUUACAAUAAAUUCACAGUAUAUGAAUAAAAUGAGGAGGAAGAGUGCAAAUUGGGUAUGAAUGGUAUUUUUGAGAAUUAAAAAGUGAAAAAUAUUUGGUUGAGGAUUUUUCUAAUUGAGUGGGCCCCACUGUUAGGUUUGUAAGAUUCAUGAACACAAUUAAAUUGCACAAAAUAAGUGGAAGCAUGGAAAAUCAGAGUUUUAAAAUUUUAUAAACCAUAUACCCGGAUCAUCCUUUAUGCACAAUUAUUAAUUAAACAAAAAUAUGAAGAACAAAAAUCAUACCUUUGAAGAUACGAGCUUCCUCAGGUACAAGUUCACCUCCAAAUCUUUUCGCGUUCAACUUGAAUCCACCGGGUUUGGUUCCUUCCUUUAAUCAACGUUAGCCACCCAAGUGUUUGGUCUCUAAAGGUGAUCCAACAAGGAAGAAGAAAGAUUCAAGAAGAUGGGUGGUUGGCUAAACUCUAGUUUUCUAUUUCUAUAGAAAAAUGUGUACUCUCCAACAACU
rnacentral:lncRNA from 1 species